GGAAGGGGAAUUGGACUGCUCCAGCCCAGGCUGAGCCAGACAGGAGGUCAGAGGCCUCAGCCAAGGAGCCUCUCCAGAAGCCAAGGGAAAAGGGAGUCAGCCUUACCACUCACCAAGGUCGCUCAGGGAAGAUGCCUCACCUAAACCACGCUACAGAGCCAAACGCCACAAGCAUGCCCAAAAUGCUGCCCAGAGCUCCCAACGCUGCCAAGAUAGCUCCCAAAGUCUCUGAGAGAAGAGAGCCAGAGAGAGGAAGUGACACAAAAUAAAUAGGCAGUUCUUUACAUCACUUCCUGUGUCUCCCAUGUACCAAUGGUGGCUUAAGCUUGAUUUAGGACAGCCCAGGGGAUCGGUCAGUUGUUUCUGAUUUGUCACUUGCUAGCACAUGUUGGUCAUAGGCCAUCCUCCUCUACAGUUGAUCCUUAAGUAGGGGUGUAGACAUUCCUGGUUGCUAGAAUUCUAAACUACUGUUCAGGAAAAUUAAGGCUGUUAAUGUCCUCCUGAACGGUCAAGCCCCAAUGGGGCCUACAUAUCCUUUUUCUGGAGAUUUUAUUACCCAUAAACAACAUGAUGUAGGGCGUGGGAGAGAAUGAAGAUAGAGGAUCUUAACAGGAGACUUUGGUGUCUGUCAUAUUCUGAACAAUAGAGUAUUAAUUUUGUUUGUUUAGAAGCUUUGGGCUGCAAUGGCUACAUCACUGGGUCUGGAUUCAGCAUGGCCUGAGUUCAGAUCUAACCUCAAAGAUGUAUUAGACAUAUUAUGCUGGGUCUACAGAGAUCAUGACAUUUUGGAGACCUCAGAACCCAGCAGAGAGAAGGCAAGGGGAAGAUGCUGCCGCACACCAGCCUCAAGAUUAGGUUCUGUCCUUCAUGCUUUCCUUUUGAGAGUCCCUUCCUACUAUGAUUUCCUUCAUUCAAUCUAUGCUGUCCCUUCCAGCCAAAGAAAAGAUUUUAUAUUUGAUCCUGGAAGGAGUUAAUAGGGAAUCACUGGAGUUUGUUGAAUGGAGGGAGAUUUUUCUAUCCUAUUAAUCUACAAUUCCAUUAAUAAUAAUAAUACAUUUUUGUAAAAUGGCAUGGCUGAUCCUGAGCUUUAGGAAGGUUACUGGCACCUGACUGAGUAUAUGGUGGAGUGGAAUGGAGAGAUGCUUGUGGCAGGG
rnacentral:lncRNA from 1 species